UACAGAGGGUGCAAGCGUUGUUCGGAAUUACUGGGCGUAAAGCGUGCGUAGUCGGUAUUGAGAGUCGCGGGUGAAAUCCCAGGGCUUAACCCUGGAACUGCCUGCGAGACCUCAGUACUAGAGUGUGAGAGGGGAUAGUGGAAUACCCAGUGUAGCGGUGAAAUGCGUAGAGAUCGGGAGGAACACCAGAGGCGAAGGCGGCUAGCUGGACAGUCACUGACACUCAACUACGAAAGCGUGGGGAGCAAACAGG
rnacentral:rRNA from 1 species